UCCUCCCAGGGUCAGUCGGGACCUAAGCCGAGGCCGCAAGGCGUAGGCGAUGGAUAACAGGUUGAUAUUCCUGUACUAGUUAAGAUUGUUUGAACGAUGGAGGGACGCAGGAGGCUAAAUCAUGCGCACGAUUGGAAAUGUGCGUCCAAACGCUGAGUCUGGUGAUGAGUCAAAUGCUUAUCGCUAAGGACAAGGCGCGACGGGAACCGAAUUUUAGUAGGGAAGUGCUCCACGUCACACUGCCGAGAAAAGCUUCUAGUGAGAUCUUAAUUACCCGUACCGCAAACCGACACAGGUAGUCGAGGAGAGUAUCCUAAGGUGAGCGAGUGAACUCUCGUUAAGGAACUCGGCAAAAUGACCCCGUAACUUCGGGAGAAGGGGUGCUACACGCAAGUGUAGCCGUAGUGAAAAGGCCCAGGCAACUGUUUAUCAAAAACACAGGUUUCUGCAAAAUCGUAAGAUGAAGUAUAGGGGCUGACGCCUGCCCGGUGCUGGAAGGUUAAGUGGAUGAGUUAGCUUCGGCGAAGCCCAGAAAUGAAG
rnacentral:rRNA from 1 species